AUUGAACGCUGGCGGCAUGCCUUACACAUGCAAGUCGAACGGUAACGGGCCUUCGGGUGCCGACGAGUGGCGAACGGGUGCGUAAUACAUCGGAACGUGCCCGAUCGUGGGGGAUAACGAGGCGAAAGCUUUGCUAAUACCGCAUACGAUCUACGUCUGAAAGCAGGGGACCGCAAGGCCUUGCGCGGACGGAGCGGCCGGUGGCGGAUUAGGUAGUUGGUGGGAUAAAGGCUUACCAAGCCGACGAUCUGUAGCUGGUCUGAGAGGAUGAUCAGCCACACUGGGACUGAGACACGGCCCAGACUCCUACGGGAGGCAGCAGUGGGGAAUUUUGGACAAUGGGCGCAAGCCUGAUCCAGCCAUGCCGCGUGCAGGAUGAAGGCCUUCGGGUUGUAAACUGCUUUUGUACGGAACGAAAAGCCUUCCUUUAAUACAGGAGGGUCAUGACGGUACCGUAAGAAUAAGCACCGGCUAACUACGUG
rnacentral:rRNA from 1 species